UACGGAUGCCCUAUGUUUGUUUUCCCGAUCCUCUCUUCUGUCAAGAAAUUGGCUAUUCAUAAGGAGGCAGAUGCAACAGGUUUCAGACGUACCAACUGAGGGUUGUUACAAGAAGUAUUCCUCACCUACUGGAAUGGAACAAGCUCCAUAUAGUAGAAUUUCAUCAAAGGCUUGCAUCAAGCUCUUUAUUCGCUGGAUUCAAGCUGAUCUAAAUGGACAAGAUUGUCGAAAAGUCUAAAUUCUUGUACAGGAGAGAGGCUUAGUAAAAUUGGAGUAAAAUUCAGCAUUAUCCAGAGAUCUAAGGUAUGUACACUACAAUUAUUCAUAAUUAAAUAUAAAAUCAAUGCACAUGUACCUAUUCCUUCCACUUGUCCCAAAAUAAAUAUUCAUGUCCUAUGCUUAAUUUUUGGCAUUCUCUAAAAGGAAUAUAAUCACUCUUUCUUGUGAUAAAAUAUAACCAUAUCUCUACCCAAGAUAAAACUUUUCAUCUCAAAGGACUCUCAAUCCUACUAAACAAAUAUCUUAUUAAUUACAAUUUAUGUUUCUUAAUGGCAUUCUUGGAGAUUCUAAGUGUGAUGGACUAUAUGAUGUUAUGGUUGAGAUG